ACUGGCUCCUCUUCCGCCGAGAAGCCAGCCGCCAUUCCUCCCAACUUCUUCUCCCAGUGCCUACCUUCCUCCCAUCUCGGCGUUCCGGAACGCGACCACCACCGUGCGCCACACAAACGACGGGCGAGCCGUCGAGGCAUCCUUACGGCUCGUCCACCCGUCGGGCGGUCCUACUUCUCCGUCCAUUGCGCCGGCCUCAGGGGCGACGGCGAGCCCGAGGUCAUCUUAGCCGAGGCCGCCUUCGCCCUCUUCUGAGUCAAUAUUGGUCUAGGAGCUCAGAUGCCGCAGCAGGCAAGGACCGCCGCCAUGAAGUGCAGAUCGUCCCCAACAACCAGCGGUGCCGCUCUGGGUCACCAGGAAGCGUGGGGAUGCGUUGACCCGACAACGAGGAGAUGCGUCGACCAGUCGCGGAGAUCUGUGUGGUGGUGUCCCCUGCCAUCGAGUGCCAAUCGCUACGACGGCCUCCUAUUCCAGACUGGCGGUCGUCAGCGUUAUGCACUACGAGGGUGGAUGCCGUGCCGGUGAUUGUUUUCCCCAUCCACCCGUGCGUGCUGGAGUUCCAUGGCAUAGCAGCGUUAUGCAGUGCAUGAUGCUCGUCAUCCCCAUCCAGCGCUUUUUCUAGCAUACACGGAUGGUGUGGACGUGCGCUAAGAUGGAAAGAAGCGCAUCCAUUGGAGGUACGCAGGAUCUCCGGCGAGCGCUGGGUGACCCCAAGGGGUGGCAAUGCGCAUAGUGCUUUAGGGAGUACUGUAAUUUGUAAUUUUAUUUUUUGUUGUGCGCAUUUUGUUUUUUCUGUCAUUUAUGUUUUUGUUUUUACGGCCAUUUGUAUUUUUUGUUGAACAAUAUUAGCAGAGAUAUUAAUAAAAUAAUUUAUGUGAUGAAAAUUUAUAGAA